rnacentral:tRNA from 1 species
ACCUUCGUGGGUAGUGGUCAGCACGCUCGACGCAUAUCCGAGAGGUCCGUGGUUCGAAUCCCGGCGAAGGCA